rnacentral:rRNA from 1 species
CCUACGGGAGGCAGCAGUGAGGAAUAUUGGUCAAUGGACGAGAGUCUGAACCAGCCAAGUAGCGUGAAGGAUGACUGCCCUAUGGGUUGUAAACUUCUUUUAUAUGGGAAUAAAAUGUUCCACGUGUGGGCUUUUGUAUGUACCAUAUGAAUAAGGAUCGGCUAACUCCGUGCCAGCAGCCGCGGUAAUACGGAGGAUCCGAGCGUUAUCCGGAGUUGUUGGGUUUAAAGGGAGCGUAGGUGGAUUGUUAAGUCAGUUGUGAAAGUUUGCGGCUCAACCGUAAAAUUGCAGUUGAAACUGGCAGUCUUGAGUACAGUAGAAGUACGCGGAAUGCGCGGUGUAGCGGUGAAAUGCAUAGAUAUCGCGCAGAACUCCGAUUGCGAAGGCAGCGUACCGGAGCCAGACUGACGCUGAGGCACGAAAGCGUGGGGAUCGAACAGGAUUAGAUACCCCUGUAGUC